GGCAUCUUACUGCAUUUACCUGCCCUCAUUUACCCAUUUAUCCCUUUCCCCAUCCUUACUUUACCUCAUAUCCCAAUGUCCCCCUCACCAUAACCUCUACCUUGCCUAUUUCCCUACCUUUCCUAACUCUCUUUCUCAUUCACACACCUUAUUAUACCCUUUCCAUGUUCCCGCUCUUCCCCUAACUGCCUAUUCCAUUUCCCCACCCUCUCCACCUCUUUUCUGUUUCCGUUUCCCCACCACCCCCUCACUGCCUUUUCCUAUUCUAGUGAAAGGGACUCACCAUUUUCCCCAUGGUGUUAAUGCUGGGAUGGGACCGCGUGUUAUUUUCUCAAGCAGCUUCUGUGGUGGAAGUUUGCUGAAUGCUAGGAUGUAAAGAUACAACACAAAAAUAUGACGACUGAUGAAUACAACAUUUGGGGUGAUUCACUUAAAUUCUGUAAAUUCUGUAACUCAAUUGUGUAUGUGUUUUUUUUUUUUACUCAACUGACAUGAUGUUUACAAUUGUUUCAAAAACUUGUAUCUUAAAAUAGCUUAAAAAUGGAAAAUACACCUUUUUAUUGGCCUAUACAGGAGCUUGCCAGGUUUUAGCUGCCAGUUCUUUACAUACUCAAAAAAUGGUGUAUUAUGGAAACAAAGCAAAUUCAAAUUUUAGUAAAUCAGCCCCUUUGUUUUUAAUAUUUAAUAAUAUUCUAUGUUACGGUGUGACACAUAAAUGACCAUGCUACUAACAGUUCUACAUGCAGUAUAGUAUAUACGCGCACACACUAGGGUUUACUUACAGAGAUGUCCCUCCGCCAUUUCAAUGGCUGCAAUGCCGAGUGACCAGAUGUCAGCCUGAAUAUGAAAAUAUGGGGAAAGACAGUUAUUAGAGAAGAAUAUACACAGAGUACAUGGCAAUAAUUCAAGUUGCAGAUGAUCCAGAUACUUCUGAUCCCUAUCCACCCACACCCUGAUAGUGAUUCUAUUUAGGAUGCACAAUAAUAAAUCCAUUAGAAAAUUAUAAUCAAGUAGUAAAGUGCUGUGACUUUUAUGUCCCCAAACUGAGAGUCUUGUGUGUUACAUGGAGUGUAACAUGCCCAUAAAGCAUAAGCAGUCAGAUGAAGUUGGUUUCUAAUAUUCUUGUGUCCUGCACCUAAAAUGCAUUUCACUCUCUCAUUUCAGAUUCUCGUAUCACAAAAACCACAUUACAGCUCUGCAUUGUCUGUUAUGAGAGGGGUGGAAAAGGCCCUGAGAAAUCAAGAAAGCAAAAGAGUAUGUAUAGUGAAGCCUGCCUGGAUCUUGGCUUGAGUGUGCAUGUUCUAGAAGGGCAAUGAGAGAUGUGGAAGACCUGAGAGGAUGGCAACGGAGGGAAAAAGUGGUGACGGAGGCAAAAAGUGGUGCCCAACCACCCCAUGGAGCCCUUGUGCAUUUGACCUUUAGAUCUCAGGAUCGUUGAUCGCAGGAGCCUCCUGGUUAAGAAAGGGAAAGACAAGGUAAAUACAAUCUUGGUUAUAAUAUAG